ensembl:lncRNA
GGGGGAGAAAGAGUUCUGCAGGUGAUUCCUAUGGGUACAGGGGGGGGAAAGAGUUCUGCAGGUGAUUCCUAUGGGUACAGGGGGGGAAAGAAAAGAGUUCUGCAGGUGAUUCCUAUGGGUACGGGGGGAAAGAGGGGAAGAGUAACACAGUCCCCUGGGGGAGUGUUGAGCAGCAGUGAAGAGUAGGAACAGGGCUUUCAGAAUGUUGAAAAGGACCUGUAAUUACCAGCACCUGAUACAGUAGAAACAAGAAGUAGUAAGGAGGAUCAUUAGGACAGCUAAGAGGGCAUAUUGGCGCCAGUUCUGUGGAAACAAAGGCAGGACCACUCCUGUGGGAGAGGUAUGGGGGAUGAUUAAGAGAAUGAGUGGGGUCAGAAGAGAUUGGGAUCUCCCUGUGCUGAAAAGGGGGAGAUGCGAGCCCAGGCAUUUGUGAAGGUGCACAACUCAAAUAAUCUGACAGAAGAGGGGUAGGGUGGGAGAGAGAGGGUCAGAGGAGAACAUCCGGGGGUCCUGGAUCAGAAAGAGAUGGUGGGGGAUACAUUGAAUGGCCCUUUUACGUUGGCUGAGAUGAGUGCAUUAGCUAAAGCUGGGGUAACAUCUCCUGGGAAGGAUGAGAUGUGUUACAUCAUGAUGGCUCAUCUCAGUGACACUGCAAUGGGGAAAGUAUUGGGCCUUUACAAUAAGGUGGGGCAGGAAGGGAAACUGCCUGGAAGUUGGAAGCAGGUGGUAGUGGUGUCAAUAUGGAGACCAGGGAAAGACCCUACUAGUCCUUUAAAUUAUAGGCAGAUAGUGUUGACAUCUCACGUAUGUAAACUAUAGAAAGGCUGACAUACGUUCUGUUGAGGGCUAAUGUCACCAGAUCAAAGUGGGUUCAGGAAAGGCAGGGGAACGAUGGACCCUGCACUGUGCCUAGAGUCAGUCAUAUAGAAGGCACAGGGAAAUAAGGAGGUGGUGGUAGUCGUUUUCUUCGAUGUAGAGAAGGUUUAUGAUGUGUAAGGAAGGCCUACUUAUCAGGCUGGAUAACAUGGGGGUUGGAGGAAGAAAGCUAUGAAUAUUGAGUGUGAUGCGUUGCUUGUCAGGAAUGGAGUAACAGAUAGAAUGGUGUUAAAUGAUAUAUAUAGCGCUGUUAAUUUCAUCAGUGGAUUGUGGAAGUAUAGCAUAUGGAUCAGCAGCUCAGACAUCUUUAAAAAAGCUGGAUGUUAUCCAGGCUCAAGCCCUGAGAAUAUGUUGUGGAGCCCUUAGGACCUCCUGGUGGCAGCGAUGCAGGUAGAUUUAGGAGAGAUGCUGUUAAAGUUAAGAAAACAACAGUUAGCCAUAACAUAUUGGGUAAAUCUACAAGGACAUAAGGUUACACAUCCUAUAAAAAUGGUGCUCCUAGAGUGCUGGGAACUAGGGUUGUUUGGGAGGGAGUUUAGCCCCUCUGUGGUUCUUCCUGCUAUCCCACCUUGGUUUCUCCCUCAGCCAGUGGUAGGUCUAGGGUUGUU